rnacentral:tRNA from 1 species
UUCGAAAUGGGUAGACGCUACGGACUUAAAAUCCGUUGGCUUUAUUGACCGUGAGGGUUCAAGUCCCUCUACCCCCA